GCAGUUCCGCUCUAUUCCUUGUUUACUGAGAGUUUUUAUCAUGAACUGAUGUUGGAUUUUAUCAAAUGCGUUUUCUGGAUCCAUUGAUAUGAUCAGGUUUUCAGGUGCUGGUCUCAUGGCUCUUCCCCAGUUCAAAAUAAGAAAACUCUACAGAUACUCUGUCCACUAGAACCCAUUCCCAUCUACCCCCCACUCUGUCCAGCAACCAAAACUGAUAUCAGAGAGGAGGCAUAUGGAUGUGAUCUGUGCAGAGAAGAUAACAAGGGUGCUAUGCAGCUGUAGCCGCACAUGGCUUGGGAUGACUGUAUUAUGACAGGUAUAGAAUGUUUCAUUAUCUUGGAGGGUUCUACCGGACAGUGUUACAGUUAGUGUCCAUACUCACAGAGAAGUCCUUGCCUCUCCAUUACAAACUCUGGCUAACCCAUCUGCGUGUGUGUAUCUUGAGGUAAAAUGAUAUUUUUCAUGCAUGUAUUGUUUUAACGUAGCACUUGAACCUGGAGGACGUUAUGCUGAAUAAAAUAAGCCAGGCACAGAAACGCAAGUAUCACAUCAUCUCACUUAUAGGUAGAAUUUUGAAAAAUUAAAUUCAUAGAAGUAGAGAGUAGAAGGGUAUACCAGAGACUGGUUAGGGAAAGGAGAAGAAGAAAUGAAGAGAUAGUGGUGAAAGUGUGCAAAGUGUCAUUUACACAGGAGGAGUAAGUUUUUGAGAUUUAUUGCACAGUAUCAUUGCUAUAGUUAAUAUAAAUAGUAUAUUUCAAAUUGCUGAGAGAGCAAAUUUAAAUGUCUUACCAUAAACAUGAUAAUUAAUUGAGUUAAUGGAUAUGUUAGUUAUCUUGCUUUAAUCACUUCAUAUUGAAUAAAUGUAUCAAAACAUUAUAUUGUACCCCAUAAAUAUUUACAAUUAUGAGUUGCCAUUUAAAAAUAUUAU